UACGUAGGUGGCAAGCGUUGUCCGGAAUUAUUGGGCGUAAAGCGCGCGCAGGCGGUUCUUUAAGUCUGAUGUGAAAGCCCCACGGCUCAACCGUGGAGGGUCAUUGGAAACUGGAGAACUUGAGUACAGAAGAGGAAAGCGGAAUUCCACGUGUAGCGGUGAAAUGCGUAGAGAUGUGGAGGAACACCAGUGGCGAAGGCGGCUUUCUGGUCUGUAACUGACGCUGAGGCGCGAAAGCGUGGGGAGCAAACAGG
rnacentral:rRNA from 1 species